rnacentral:rRNA from 1 species
UCCCUCGGGAUGUAAACUUCGCAAGAACGGGAAGAAUAAGUGAGAGUUAAUAUCUCUCGCGAUGACGGUACCGUUUGUAAGCUCCGGCUAACUCCGUGCCAGCAGCCGCGGUAAUACGGGGGGAGCAAGCGUUAUCCGGAAUUAUUGGGCGUAAAGAGCUCGUAGGCGGUUUGUCGCGUCUGCCGUGAAAGUCCGGGGCUCAACUCCGGAUCUGCGGUGGGUACGGGUAGACUAGAGUGAUGUAGGGGAGACUGGAAUUCCUGGUGUAGCGGUGAAAUGCGCAGAUAUCAGGAGGAACACCGAUGGCGAAGGCAGGUCUCUGGGCAUUAACUGACGCUGAGGAGCGAAAGCAUGGGGAGCGAACAGGAUUAGAUACCCUGGUAGUCCAUGCCGUAAACGUUGGGCACUAGGUGUGGGGGACAUUCCACGUUUUCCGCGCCGUAGCUAACGCAUUAAGUGCCCCGCCUGGGGAGUACGGCCGCAAGGCUAAAACUCAAAGGAAUUGACGGGGGCCCGCACAAGCGGCGGAGCAUGUGGUUUAAUUCGAUGCAACGCGAAGAACCUUACCAAGGCUUGACAUGAACCGGUAAGACCUGGAAACAGGUCCCCCGCUUGCGGUCGGUUUACAGGUGGUGCAUGGUUGUCGUCAGCUCGUGUCGUGAGAUGUUGGGUUAAGUCCCGCAACGAGCGCAACCCUCGUUC